rnacentral:rRNA from 1 species
CUUGUACACACCGCCCGUCACACCAUGGGAGCGGGGUGCACCAGAAGUAGGUAGGCUAACCGCAAGGAGGCCGUUUACCACGGUGCGGACUUCGUGACUGGGGUG